ACAGGACUCCGCCAUUAGCCACGUGGCACUCUAAAGACCAUAAGGAUGUAGUAACGAAAGGGCAGAACCGCGCCGCUAACCACACCCACUUUAGGCAUGACUAGAGACAGGGAGGCGGAACUGCACCACGAGCCAGGCCCACGGGCGUGUACAGAGAAAGGAAUAAGAGAAUGAACAGCCGAGCGCUCGCCCCUUUCUCGGCUUCCAGUUCGGUGGCGGAAAACUGCUCGACUCCUCAGGGUUGCUCGUUUCUCUCUUAUUAUCUUGUAUCCCAGGCCAAACAUAUGCUCACCUACGACCAAGGACUUGGCCUUGAACUUCUGAUCUUCCUGGUUCCCCUUCCCAUGAGGGCUAUAUUGACAGGAAACAGAAGAGUCUCUCUGGCUGUGGAUGGAUGAGCCCUGCUCUUGGCCCUAGACAACCAAGAACUUACUGACCUGCUUUAUUAACAGGUUGGAAAUAACACACUCUCUAAAUGAAAAGGCACCACCAGUUACCAAAAGGUAAAGCGGCAUUCUCAUUGGCCAUCCACGUCUCUCGCCCCUAGAAACAGCACUGCUCUGGAUCCCUGAGGUUUGGGGUUUUGAUUUCCUUGCAGUCUUAUUGUGAGUCAUGGUAAUUACACCUAUCUAGACUUUGACAGGUGAGGCACUAUCCCUUGAUUUGUGCUAUUCUAGAAUUCUAUCAUCUCAUUGACACUAGGGACCCCGGUUUUGCAGAACAUCUCUUACCAUUAACCCUGAACCAAAGGCAGCCUCCACUGAGCAACCUCACCAGCUCAUUCCUUGUUACUUUAAUGAGAAAAGUGUCUGCUGAAAUUUCCCAGGAAACAUAAUCAGCUGGAGGGCUCUCUGGUUUUAUAUAAUGUAUUCACUCUGACAUGCUUAGUGCUCUGAGGCUUUUGACCACCUCCUCAGUAUCUACUAAGAUAUCUCAACUUUAUUUCCCACAGACCAUCUAGGUUCCAAGCUUCAGGGAGCUAUUUUAUAUUAGCAUCGAGUCCAGCUUGCCUGACCAGGACAUUAAAUCCAAAACCAUAGAGGUGGGUGAUGGUUAAUCUUGGACCUGAAAGUGACUAAGAGAAACACCUCUGGGAUCUUCAUUUCUGGGCAGGAAGACCUUCUUCUAGAGUGGGCAGUGCCUUUGUGCAGUGGAUAUGAAGAGGGCUGGGAUAAAACAGAGUUGUUUCCUUGUCUUGCUUACUACUGAUUAUUUAUUUUAAUUUUAUGUGUAUAAGUGCUUUGCCCGUGUGUAUGUCUGUGUAUCACAUAUGUACAGUGCCCAGUGGAGGACAGAUGGUGGCACAUCCCUAGAACUGGAGUUACUGACAGUUGUGAGCAACCAUGUGGGUGCUGGGAAUUGAACCUGGGUCCUCUGGAAGAGCAGUGCUCUCAACUGGUGAGCCAUCCCUGCAGCCCCCACAGCAGCCAUGCUUUAUUGGCAUCACACUCCAGCUUCUUUGGGUUCAGCCAUGGAUUCCAGUGGCUCUGCGGGGAUCCUUUAGGUCUUUAGUCCCAGACUGUCAGUGAGGUGUCCAGCUUUCUAGAUUCACAACCUCUACACCAUGCAGUGUUGUUGUACUAUUCAGCCCCUAUCAUUGCCUGAGCCAGUGAAACAAAUUCUUCGAGUAGUGUAUAUUCCUUCUAUCAGUUCUGUUUCUCUAGAAAGCCCGGCCAGCACAGGGUGUCUCAUAUCAUGAAGUCGUCCAUAUCUAGCCCAUGGUCUACCUUCCUGGGUCCAGCAAGCUCAGGGCCAUGCCCAUAGAUGUUUCCCCACAUGUGAGUCGUGUCCUGCAGCUCUUGUGGGUAAUGGUCUUUUUCAUUCCAGUCUUGCCUCACUGAAUGAAGCCAUGCUGAAGCCUGACCCUUGCCUCACUGAAUGAAGCCAUGCUGAAGCCUGACCCUUGCCUCACUGAAUGAAGCCAUGCUGAAGCCUGACCCUCUCUGUCAGUCUAGAAGCAAGGAGAGGUUGCUAUCUUAGAAAAUGAUUGUGUGGAGGAAGGGGCACAUCUGCAGGCUCAGAAAAAGCUCAGCCAUUUUUCUCUUAAAAGCCAAACUUUAGCUGGGCGGUGGUAGCGUACACCUUUAAUCCCAGCACUCAGGACCAGCCUGGUCUACAAGAGCUAGUUCCAGGAUAGCCU